rnacentral:tRNA from 1 species
GUAUUGGUAAUUUAUUCAUGGGAAUACAUGGAGAUGCACUGAGGAUUUAAUGAAUUCCCCCUCCUAAGGGGCAGGUCACAGGUUCAAAUCCUGUUCGGGACACCA